rnacentral:rRNA from 1 species
UACGAAGGGGGCUAGCGUUGCUCGGAAUCACUGGGCGUAAAGCGCACGUAGGCGGCUUUUUAAGUCAGGGGUGAAAUCCUGGAGCUCAACUCCAGAACUGCCUUUGAUACUGAGGACCUUGAGUUCGGGAGAGGUGAGUGGAACUGCGAGUGUAGAGGUGAAAUUCGUAGAUAUUCGCAAGAACACCAGUGGCGAAGGCGGCUCACUGGCCCGAUACUGACGCUGAGGUGCGAAAGCGUGGGAAGCAAACAGG